ensembl:lncRNA
AGAGGGAGCUGAGUGUAAAAGCGAAGCUCUCAAUUUACCGGUCGAUCUACGUCCCUACCCUCACCUAUGGCCACGAGCUGUGGGUAGUGACCGAAAGAACGAGAUCGCGGAUACAAGCGGCAGAAAUGAGCUUCCUCCGAAGGGUGGCUGGCCUCUCCCUUAGAGAUAGGGUGAGAAGUUCGGCCAUCCGGGAGGGGCUCAGAGUAGAGCAGCUGCUGCUCCACAUCGAAAGGAGCCAGCUGAGGUGGUUCGGGCAUCUGACAAGGAUGCCCCCUGGGCGCCUCCUGGGUGAGGUGUUCCAGGCAUGUCCCACCGGGAGGAGGCCCCGGGGCAGACCCAGGACACGCUGGAGAGAUUAUAUCUCUCGGCUUGCCUGGGAACGCCUUGGUAUUCCCCCGGAUAAGCUCGAGGAGGUGGCUGGGGAGAGGGAGGUCUGGGCCUCUUUGCUUAGGCUGCUGCCCCUGCGACCCGGCCCCGGACAAAGCGGAUGAAAAUGGAUGGAUGGAUGGAUGUUGUUUAUUCUAUUACUCUUGUUCUCUUCUGCUUGUUUUCUUUUUUCUUUCUCAGCAGGUGAUCCAGGUGAUUGAUAUAUGCAUUUUUUAUUUCUUUCUUUUUUUAUUUAUUCUGCUCAUUCUGUUGGUUUCUGUUUUUUGCCCUUCUCCCCCGUCCCUCUUCUCAGCUGUUUCUCUUUCCCUCUUUCUUUCUCCCCUUCUUUCCCCCAGUCAAGUCUGUCCCGUAUUCAGUAAAUGAAAAUAAAAUAAACAAUAAAAGGUGAAUCAAAUGGACCAUUAUGGCAAGGCUGGGAUGGUCAAUUUGGUAAAGUAAAUCCGUUGGGCAUCUUUCUUUGCCUUUAGACAACAAUUCUGAUGGCAAAAGAGCCAAACGGGAAAGGCAAAAAAAAAAAAAAAAAGAAAAGAAAAAAAGAAAGCAUAGAAAACCCAGGGUUAACCCUAAAGUUGCUUGGAAAAGCCAAAAUCCUGCUUUACAGCUCUGGUACAGCUCUGAGGUGUUGCUGAAUUUUCUCAAUGAUCCAAAUGUUUCCUUCACACACCUGCAGGGGGAAAAAAAAGGCAAACUUAACCAAGCUCUUAAACAGCAGACAUCUUUUCAACACUUUUAUUCUGUGUGUGUGUGAAUUUUACACUCUGACCUUGAAGAAAAAUUCAAAGCAACAGCUACAGCGGCCUGUCUCUACAAGCUCAAAAAAUUAAAUGAUCUUCUUUCAAUAAAUCUUUAAUUUAGGGACUAUAGGUAAAUUAUUCACUGUCAUACAGGCCGUUUCAAUUAUCACGGGGAAAACGUGAAAUGUGUUUUUAUAACCUAGUCCUGCUUUAAACUUCUCCACAGCGUUAUUCCCGACCUGUCUGGUGUUUUCUUAAGCUUCAUGAUGUUUCUUUACAAACCUCUGAGGCCUUUA